GGGCGUAUAGCUCAGUUGGUUAGAGCGCGUCGUUGACAUCGACGAGGUCUCCCGUUCAAAUCGGGAUACGCCCACCA
rnacentral:tRNA from 1 species